rnacentral:rRNA from 1 species
UACGUAGGCAGCGAGCGUUGUUCGGAGUUACUGGGCGUAAAGGGUGCGUAGGCGGUUGUUUAAGUUUGGUGUGAAAUCUCCCGGCUCAACUGGGAGGGUGCGCCGAAUACUGAAUGACUAGAGUGCGGGAGAGGAGAGUGGGAUUCCUGGUGUAGCGGUGAAAUGCGUAGAUAUCAGGAGGAACACCGGUGGUGUAGACGGCUCUCUGGACCGUAACUGACGCUGAGGCACGAAAGCGUGGGUAGCAAACAGG